AUUUAUAUAGUUUAAAUUAAAACUUUACAUUUUCAUUGUAAAAAUAAAAUAUCUAUUUUUAUAAAUA
rnacentral:tRNA from 1 species